rnacentral:snRNA from 1 species
AUCACUUCUUGGCCUUUAGGCUAAGAUCAAGUGUAGUAUCUGUUCUUAUCAGUUUAAUACUUAAGAAAGAUAAUGAAGUACAUUUUGUCUAUUUUAAAAUUUUAGCACUU